AAGCAUCUGAGGAGAAUCCUUUUUAAUGGGUUUUGUAAAAUAACACACUAAUGGAAUUGACAUGACAUCUAACCCAAAAUUUUAAGGCAUUGGGUUUAUAGGUCUUUUUAACUUAUAUGUCCUUCACUCAUCCCAUUUCUUUUUGAUGUGAAAAUUCUAACACUUGAAUAUUCUCAACAAUCUCUUCCUCAAACGUGAAUUUCUUUCACAUUGGGCUUACUAAGGCUUGCUCCCUCUCGAACGAAAGCUUUUUCCUUAACUCGAGUAUUACGGUGCCACCAAGAGCCCAAUUAUUCCACCUAAGCAUGCACUUCUAAAAGCCACGCUAGAGCUAUCACGUGUACUGAGAGUCUCCACUCUAUUUGUCUGCUUUUCUCAAAUAGAGUGCCUUCUUGCUCCAUUGGGCCUACUAAGAGUCUCAUGGCUCUUCCAUUCAUGUUUUAGAGCAUCACGGGAAUCACCAACCACCGUUUCCAUACUUUUCCCUGCCGAACUAUAGGCCCUGAUACCAUUUGUUAGAGAUCUGGGGAGCUUAAAGCGCCUGGGGAGAAUCCUUCUUGAUAGGCUUUGUGAAAGAACACUUAUGAGUUUGACAUCACAUUCCACUUAUAUGUCUUUCACUUAUUCCAUCUCUUUUCAAUGAGGAAUUUUAACACUUGAAUAUUCCCAAUAGAAGGAAUGUGCAUGUUUUGAG
rnacentral:misc_RNA from 1 species